CUACAAAGGGCUGGGACAACGUGGCUUGUGUUAGUUGAUGAAACUAUUAUACCACAAGCGCUGUGUAGCCCAAUCCUAUAGACCCCAACACAGAACAUAAAACAAAAUGCCCCAAUAGUAAGGAAUAAGAACGCUGCAAACAGACAAUCAGCCCCUGAACAAAGGAUCCGUAAGGGCGACGGCUACUCGCUAGCCCAUGUGGCUGAAAUCAACCCUGAUAAAAGGCCAUGUGCUUCUAUGCCCCUCUCUGUGAAAGCUGCUACCCCUAAAAACAUUCGCCAUCGUAAGCCUAAGAAGCAAUUUAUUGAGCCUGAGAAGCCAUACCAGAAAGGCCUCCCGCCCAAAAGCAGCCACCAUUCCUUUGUUCCGGUCUCAUCUUACCCAGCCACUGUAUCUUAUGAUCCUAACACAGCUGCAUAGCAACUAAAGGCUACGGAAGACUUAGUUUCAUUGUAUUUGACACCUGAGGAGGAUUUCACACAGUCACCCCCGUGGAGCAGAAACGGAUGUCUACACAAGCCUAAGAAGGGAUCUAAGAAGAGAUCUAUUGAUCCUGUGAAGACAUACACAGACGGUUUCCCGCCCAAAAGACGCCGCACUUCCUUUGUUCCAGACUCGCCUUACCCUGGACACUGUAUCUGCCGAUCCUAACACCGCUGCAGAGCAACUAACGGCAAGGGAAGACUUAGAGUCCUUGCAUUGGUCGUCGUCUAAGUGUGAUUUCACACAUAGUACACCAAAGCCCUACCAGCCACCAAGUGUCUCCAUUGAGAGGGAACAAAAGGAUACCCCUUUACAAAAGACAUCUGAUGAGACAAUCCAUGCCAUAGAAGCAGGAGAAGGGUCUGAAGACACCUGACUAACAGCGACAGCCCCUACAUCACGCCAAACAAAUUGGGAAGCUACAGGAGAAGGGUCUGAAGACAUCGAACUAACAGAGACACCGCUUACAGCCCACCAAUCGAGUCAGGCAGCUUUGCAGGAGGUCCCUGAAUAUAAUGUAGGUGAAUACUUCUUUAACUGUAUCUAUAGCACCGAGGAAGGCACCGAUUAUGUCAGCUGUAUGCCACACACCUCUGUCAUAACUGUGUCAGAUAAAAAGUGUAACAGGGGUAAUACCUCAAUAACCAGUCCUUGAUAAGCAAGCAGUACCUAAUUAUAUUACUAACAACCAGUUUGAACACUGUGGGGAACUAGGAGGUCCUGUGCAGGUAACAUUGCUUCAGGGUGAAGAGCUUUUUGAGUACUGUGUCAACACUACACCUCAACAACCUCCGUUAGAUGUCCAUUAUAAACAAAUACAAUCAGAAUUGUAUUUGUUUCCGAAUUACGAAAACAAAACCAUGCUUAUGAAUAAAUUAGAUGUCUUGCAAACAGCUAAAACACAAUUGACUGGUUUGGUCACAGACUUUGGCACAACUCUGGCCAGUCAGGUCAGAGCUAACACGCAUUUGGUUGAUUUGGUCACAGGGUUUGGCACAACUCUUGUCAGCUCUCUCAAUACACUGCUUGUACCUAUGAUAGUAUGCCU